AACGCGAAGAACCUUACCUACCCUUGACAUGGUCGGAAUCCCGCUGAGAGGUGGGAGUGCUCGAAAGAGAACCGGCGCACAGGUGCUGCAUGGCUGUCGUCAGCUCGUGUCGUGAGAUGUUGGGUUAAGUCCCGCAACGAGCGCAACCCUUGUCCUUAGUUGCUACGCAAGAGCACUCUAAGGAGACUGCCGGUGACAAACCGGAGGAAGGUGGGGAUGACGUCAAGUCCUCAUGGCCCUUAUGGGUAGGGCUUCACACGUCAUACAAUGGUCGGAACAGAGGGUUGCCAACCCGCGAGGGGGAGCUAAUCCCAGAAAACCGAUGUAGUCCGGAUUGCACUCUGCAACUCGAGUGCAUGAAGCUGGAAUCGCUAGUAAUCGCGAUCAGCAUGCC
rnacentral:rRNA from 1 species